UUUCUCGGUAUCGAACGAUUAUCAUUUUGCAGAAACAAAAAAAAAACAGAUAAGCCCAAACCGGAUCUGCAUUUUUGUGCCAAAUUCUAUAUAAGCCUGACACUGACACUAGCUGUUCGCGAGCCAUCACAUACUUACAGGGUUGUUUCUGUUGUCCGAAAACAGUCGUCGUAACCAUGGAUACCGCAAACUGUCGUACCGAUUUUAAUGAUGUAUCUUCUGUUCAUGGUUGGGACAAUGACACACUACACGAACUAGAUGAUAGUUCUCUAACAAGUUCCCAAGGAGAAAGCAUCAUUACGGGAAUUACACGGACUAGUAUUAGAGAUCAAAAAAUUCCCACUCGUAGCGUCCCAUAUCCUGACUACGACGAUGACGACGAUGACGACGACGAUGACGAUGAUGACGAUGAUGAUGAUGACGAUGAUGAUGAUGAUUAUUAGUGGCUUAUUAGUGUUAAAUUGAAAUGUUUCCUAUGCGUUUUAGGAUAGAGAUUUGUAUUGUUCUAGAUGGAGAAACGUGUUUGUUGUGAAUCAAAAUUAAACAUCAACAGAAACUUGUGUUAAAAAUCAAACUCAACUGAUUUUCUUAAGAAAAUUACAGACGAUUAUAAACCUCUGGGACAUUCAGAGUCGUCCAAACUGUUCUAUAAUGAAGUCCUUCAAAUCUACAAAAAAAAAUGUGUUUUCGCCAUAAAUAAUAGCAUAGCAUAAUCUGCUGAGAUCCGUGAAGCUCUUUACAUCUCAAAUGUCAUUUAGAGACACUAUGGGAGUGUUCCAGGUCUGCCAAUAAAAAUACUGUAGAACUCCAA